AGCCUGAUGCGCCAUGCCGCGUGUGUGAAGAAGGCCUUCGGGUUGUAAAGCACUUUCAGUCGUGAGGAAGGUGGUGUCGUUAAUAGCUGCAUUAUUUGACGUUAGCGACAGAAGAAGCACCGGCUAACUCCGUGCCAGCAGCCGCGGUAAUACGGAGGGUGCGAGCGUUAAUCGGAAUUACUGGGCGUAAAGCGCAUGCAGGUGGUUUGUUAAGUCAGAUGUGAAAGCCCGGGGCUCAACCUCGGAAUAGCAUUUGAAACUGGCAGACUAGAGUACUGUAGAGGGGGGUAGAAUUUCAGGUGUAGCGGUGAAAUGCGUAGAGAUCUGAAGGAAUACCGGUGGCGAAGGCGGCCCCCUGGACAGAUACUGACACUCAGAUGCGAAAGCGUGGGGAGCAAACAGGAUUAGAUACCCUGGUAGUCCACGCCGUAAACGAUGUCUACUUGGAGGUUGUGGCCUUGAGCCGUGGCUUUCGGAGCUAACGCGUUAAGUAGACCGCCUGGGGAGUACGGUCGCAAGAUUAAAACUCAAAUGAAUUGACGGGGGCCCGCACAAGCGGUGGAGCAUGUGGUUUAAUUCGAUGCAACGCGAAGAACCUUACCUACUCUUGACAUCCAGAGAACUUUCCAGAGAUGGAUUGGUGCCUUCGGGAACUCUGAGACAGGUGCUGCAUGGCUGUCGUCAGCUCGUGUUGUGAAAUGUUGGGUUAAGUCCCGCAACGAGCGCAACCCUUAUCCUUGUUUGCCAGCGAGUAAUGUCGGGAACUCCAGGGAGACUGCCGGUGAUAAACCGGAGGAAGGUGGGGACGACGUCAAGUCAUCAUGGCCCUUACGAGUAGGGCUACACACGUGCUACAAUGGCGCAUACAGAGGGCGGCCAACUUGCGAGAGUGAGCGAAUCCCAAAAAGUGCGUCGUAGUCCGGAUUGGAGUCUGCAACUCGACUCCAUGAAGUCGGAAUCGCUAGUAAUCGUGGAUCAGAAUGCCACGGUGAAUACGUUCCCGGGCCUUGUACACACCGCCCGUCACACCAUGGGGAGUGGGCUGCAAAAAAAGUAGGUAGUUUAACCUUCGGGGGGACGCUUACCACUUUGGGGUUCAUGACUGGGUGAU
rnacentral:rRNA from 1 species